UGGGGAAUCUUCCGCAAUGGACGAAAGUCUGACGGAGCAACGCCGCGUGAGUGAAGACGGCCUUCGGGUUGUAAAGCUCUGUUAUUCGGGAAGAACGAUUCGUUUGUGAACAAUGAACGGAAGUGACGGUACCGAAAGAGAAAGCCACGGCUAACUACGUGCCAGCAGCCGCGGUAAUACGUAGGUGGCAAGCGUUGUCCGGAAUUAUUGGGCGUAAAGAGCGUGUAGGCGGUAUGGUAAGUCUGUCUUAGAAGUGCGGGGCUUAACCCCGUGAGGGGACAGAGACUGUCAUACUGGAGUCUCGGAGAGGAAAGCGGAAUUCCUAGUGUAGCGGUGAAAUGCGUAGAGAUUAGGAAGAACACCGGUGGCGAAGGCGGCUUUCUGGACGAGCACUGACGCUGAGGCGCGAAAGCGUGGGGAGCGAACAGG
rnacentral:rRNA from 1 species